AACAGGUGUUAAGAGGAAGAGAGGAGCAAGCAUAUAUAUAUGGCACUCCAGGAAGAUGAAGGUGGGAUUAUAGAAGUGCUGUUAGUACCAGGGACACUGGACAAGAAAGAUAAGCAAGCCACUGCUGUCUGAUUCCUACAUAGCAGGUUAAAGUGUUGGAUUCAUAAUUCUCACUUCAGGAAGACUGAAAACCAGACUUUAUUCUGCUAGAUCCCAAGAUAUCAAGGAAGAGGAAAAGGGAAGAGCCCCAGGCACUAUUAAACCACAGCUACAAUCACUGCCAUUUGAAACUUCCCACCAAACAACUUUACUAUUCUGAUUUAAUUUCAACUCCCAGGGAGAGUUAGUAUUAAGAGGAAGUACCUAUCAUCCAUGAUAAUCCACCAGCUCUGGGGGUUUAGAAGGGAAAGGAUGGAGGUCUCAGUGCUUGAGGCUAGGCUGACAGCUGAGCAGGGCUCCAGCUCACCUUAAUCUCACUCCUGUGGAUGCCUGCACUAGGGGCCUGAGCAUUCUCCCAGAUCUCUGCAUAGGAGGCUGCCCUUAGGCAUUAUUAAGGUGUGAAAGCAGCAAGAAAGAGCAGAAUUAAACUGCUUUUCUCUAAUGUAUCCUUUUACAGCCCAGUGUAUUUUGCCCUAGGCUAGCCUUUUCUUCUCCUUUCACCCUCCACAUGCCAGUCCGAGACAGCCUUUCUUCUCACAGGAAUUAUUGUAUUAUUUCUUAAAUUCUUUUUUUCUUCUCCAUGGCUUUUCUAGAGGAAACCUAACAGUGUGGGUUUAUCAAUCAUUUUGACAAGACUCUGAAUUCCACUGAACAGAUUUUUGAAUAAAAAUUAUGAACAAAGAAAGUGUAGUAAAUCUGCUAAUAGAAAAACUGACUAUGCCUUGUGGGAAAAUUUUUGUGUGUGUGACAUUCCAUCGUGUACCUGCCAGAGAAGAAAACAAUUGGGCCUGUUACUCAAAUUGUUCAAUUUUUAAGCAGGUCCAUUGUUAUGAUUGGACUUUAUUCCAAUAUAAGCACUUGCAAAAGGAUGACAUAAAGUGAGAAUAUAAUAGAAUGAUUAUAUGUAAUGAGUUUACUGAAGAACUUCUACAUCUUGGAGUACAAACAAUGUUUUGGAUUUUUUUGUUUGUUUGUUUUUUUCCCAUCAUUUUCGGCAGUGUUUUCUUGCAUUUCUCCUUGCAAGCCUUUUAAACAAUAUCAUCUACAAUUUUCUGCUUGCUUAUGAUUAUCAAAAUUAAACCCAAUUCUAUUUAUUUAA
rnacentral:lncRNA from 10 species